ACUCCUACGGGAGGCAGCAGUGGGGAAUAUUGCACAAUGGGGGAAACCCUGAUGCAGCCAUGCCGCGUGUGUGAAGAAGGCCUUGGGUUGUAAAGCACUUUCAGUAGGGAGGAAGGUAGUGUAGUUAACACCUGCAUUAUUUGACGUUACCUACAGAAGAAGCACCGGCUAACUCCGUGCCAGCAGCCGCGGUAAUACGGAGGGUGCGAGCGUUAAUCGGAAUUACUGGGCGUAAAGCGCAUGCAGGCGGCUUGUUAAGUCAGAUGUGAAAGCCCGGGGCUUAACCUCGGAAUUGCAUUUGAAACUGGCAGGCUAGAGUCUUGUAGAGGGGUAGAAUUUCAGGUGUAGCGGUGAAAUGCGUAGAGAUCUGAAGGAAUACCAGUGGCGAAGGCGGCCCCUGGACAAAGACUGACGCUCAGAUGCGAAAGCGUGGGAGCAAACAGGAUUAGAUACCCCUGGUAGACUGUCA
rnacentral:rRNA from 1 species